UACGUAGGUGGCGAGCGUUGUCCGGAUUUACUGGGCGUAAAGGGAGCGCAGGUGGUUUAUUAAGUCUGGUGUAAAAGGCAGUGGCUCAACCAUUGUAUGCAUUGGAAACUGGUAGACUUGAGUGCAGGAGAGGAGAGUGGAAUUCCAUGUGUAGCGGUGAAAUGCGUAGAUAUAUGGAGGAACACCGGUGGCGAAAGCGGCUCUCUGGCCUGUAACUGACACUGAGGCUCGAAAGCGUGGGGAGCAAACAGG
rnacentral:rRNA from 1 species